rnacentral:misc_RNA from 1 species
CGAUACCAUGGAGAGCACGUGGAAGAUGCUAACGGAUGGCCGUCCAAUGCCAUUGACCAGACACCUCAAGAAAACCGACACGUGGGACACUCACGUUCGUCGAGACGACGCCAUCUUACCUCUGCCGCUUCCGGAGAAGAUGAAGAAGUCGGAGACUUUUAGUGAAAACAAGUCGAAGCUGAGUCAUGAGAAUGGUCAGGGAUCGGGGAAACCGAAAAGAGAACCAUCGUUGAGUCAGGACGAGUUGAACCUCCGAGUGGAGGCGUUUAUAAAGAAGUUCAAUGAAGAAAUGAGGCUGCAGAGGCAAGAAUCGUUGAAUCAGUACCAGGAGAUGCUUAACAAGGGGAAUUAUUAGGAAUUUUGAUU